rnacentral:rRNA from 1 species
UCUUCCGGGUAGGUAGUAGUUAAGGUGAUGGCUUAACUAGCCAAAAACUCUCGUAGUCGAAGCUGAAAGGUUGAUCGACCACAUUGGGUCUGAAAAAACCCCAAUGCAAGUUAGUACAGCAGUGAGGAAUCUUGGUCAAUGGCCUAACGGCUGAACUGGCAACUUGGAGAAGUGGCAAGUCUUAUUUUGAUUAUAUUACAAUAUAUAAUCUAUAAGAUUGUAUUAAAAUUGAAUAAAGCUUUGUUUAUAUAUUGAUAAUGACAGUAUAUAUAUCGUGUCUUGACUAAUUACGUGCCAGCAGUCGCGGUAAUACGUAAGAGACUAGUGUUAUUCAUCUUGAUUAGGUUUAAAGGGUACCUAGACGGUCAAUAUAUCUUCUAAAAUGUUAGUACUUGACUAGAGUUUGAUAUAAGAGGGCAGUACUUGAGGAGGAGAGAUGAAAUUCUAUUAUACCAAAGGGACUCGGUAAAGGCGAAGGCAGCCCUCUAUGUAAAAACUGACGUUGAAGGACGAAGGCACAGAGCACAAACAGGAUUAGAUACCCAAGUAGUCUUUGCAGUAAAUGAUGAAUGCCAUAGGUUUAGAUUA